AUUGAACGCUGGCGGCAGGCCUAACACAUGCAAGUCGAACGAGUGGCGGAAGGGUGAGUAAUGUCUGGGAAAAUGCCUGAUGGAGGGGGAUAACUACUGGAAACGGAAGCCAAAACCGCAUACCAUCGGAGGUGCCCAGAUGGGUUUAGCUAGUGGGGAGGGUAAAGGCUCACCUAGGCGACGAUCCCUAGCUGGUCUGCGAGGAUGACCAGCCACACUGGGACUGAGACACGGUCCAGACUCCUACGGGAGGCAGCAGUGGGGAAUAUUGCACAAUGGGCGAAAGCCUGAUGCAGCCAUGCCGCGUGUAUGAAGAAGGCCUUCGGGUUGUAAAGUACUUUCAGCGGGGAAGCGUUACCCGCAGAAGAAGCACCGGCUAACUCCGUGCCAGCAGCCGCGGUAAUAC
rnacentral:rRNA from 1 species